CUUUGCUGCAGUCCAUGAGUGGUUGGUAGUCGUGGUAUUUUGAAAGAGAAAAUCUUUUCGCGAAAAACAAUUAUCAAAUUCAAAACUCCGAUGACUGCGAGACUGCUAGCACUUGUCAUUGAAUUGAAGGAUUUGAAACAGAGAAAUU
ensembl:ncRNA C08A9.12 ncRNA